CUGGCAGGAGAGCUUGCGUGCAGUAGGCUGUGGUGUCCGAUCGAAUGAGUGCUAUUUUCACUUGUGUUAUUGUUAAGGAUGAUGAAGAUGAGAUGUUGGGUAUCUAUUUACGUGAGAAACUAUCCACGUCAGCAGUCUGUGUCUAAAACACGUUAUAUUAAUCUGUCAAAGCUUUAACUGUAAAGCUAUUCCACUCAUCGUCAACUUCAGACCAUCAGCAUGAAGGCUCACGUGUAUUAUUGACGUUUUGUAGAUGAAAUUUGUUCGAAAUAAAAAAGUUUCCAUCCUUUACCAUUUCCUUAAACAUGAAAUCGAAAAUAACAGACAUAAAAGUAAGAUGUUAAAUGCAGAUUUCUAUUGUAUUUGAAAUAUUUAUCUUCAUAUUUUUACAAAUUUUUCUAACAAUUAGGUACUAUGUAUGAAAUGUAAUAUUUAUACAUUUCAGUUUCGUCACACAUAAACAUUAUGUGCAUUAUUUUAAGAAGAAACGUUUAGGUACUUAAAUGAAGAUCUGAUCGCCGAUAUGGUCAAUCGGCAUUUGCACAAUUCA